rnacentral:rRNA from 1 species
CAGAGGAGGUGCUCGAGCGGCGGAGGAGUCGAGGCGAUUCCAUCGGGUUCCUGGCGUUUCCGAGAUCCCUCUCUACUGGAGCUUGUUUCCUCUUCGAUUCCCUGCCUUCCUGGUUAGUUCUUCUUGUCUCUCUAUCUUCUCGCGUGCGAUUUGCCAUGGUUGUGGUCGUGUAACUUCCAGAUCUAGGUCUGGGGAUUGUUUGUAGUAGUGUGUUUGUGGGUUUGUGUUCGAGAUUUUGUUGCUGUUUGAGUAUUUAGCGGUUGGUUCUGCUUCGUGGCUCGUGUAGUUUCAUGUGGAUCCCAUGUGCUCACGUCAGUUGUUAAUAUUUGUGGAUCCCGUGUGCUCGCGCUGCUAGGUUUUGGGUGUUCUCGUUUUGAUCCUCUCGUUGUAACCGCGGUUUGGUUACUCGUUUAUAAUUUUUUUCGAUUGAUGUGUUGGUCCUCUGGUAGGGUUAGAGUUUGUGUUUUUUCCCGAGAUAGGCGUGUCUCUGUGUUGAGUCUUCUUGCACAUCCCCUGCAGUUGCAGCUACCAUCUGGUAGGGUCAGGUUUUAGGUAGCAGUGCUAAUUUGGGGUUGUAAUUGUUUAGACCUAGGCGUGCACUAUAAUUGUCUAGCUUUGCUUUGUAAUUCAUGCCUUUUGACUGUAGUAGCUUUACUCUGUAAUUUUCCUCAGUUUUGCACUGUACUCUGCAAUAACCAUGGCAAUUAUAGUGUAGUCAUUCUGUACUUUUCAUUGUAAUUUCACCGAAAGUAGUCUGUAAGUAAGUACACUGUAAUUUCCCUCAAUGUACUCUGUAAUAUUCAUGGUAAUUACACUGUAAUUUCCCUCAAUGUACUCUGUAAUCCAUGGUAAUUACGCUGUAAUUUCCCUCAAUGUGCACUGUAAUAUCCAUGGCAAUUACACUCUAAUUUCCCUCUAUGUACACUGUAAUUUCCAUAUAGUAUUUACACUGUAAUUUCCCUGAAUGCACA